CCUACGGGAGGCAGCAGUGGGGAAUAUUGGGCAAUGGGCGCGAGCCUGACCCAGCAAAGCCGCGUGAAGGAAGAAGGCCCUAGGGUUGGAAACUUCUUUUAUCAAGGACGAAACAAGUGACGGUACUGGAUGAAUAAGCGAAGGCUAAGUACAUGCCAGCAGCCGCGGUAAUACGUAGGUGGCAAGCGUUAUGCGGAUUUACUGGGUGUAAGGGGCGUGUAGGCGGGAUUGCAGGUCAGAUGUGAAAACUAUGGGCUCAACCCAGGGCCUGCAUUUGAAACUGUAGUUCUUGAGUGUUGGAGAGGCAGGCGGAAUUCCGGGUGCAGUGGUGAAAUGCGUAGAUAUACGGAGGAACACCAGUUGCGAAGGCGGCCUGCUGGACAAUAACUGACGCUGAGGCGCGAAAGCGUGGGGAGCAAACAGGAUUAGAUACCCGGGUAGUC
rnacentral:rRNA from 1 species